UGCGUCGGGGAACGGGCUCCCGCCUCUGGUUCCCUCUGCCCGUGGCGCGCUCCUCUUCCUUCCUGGAGGCAGAAUAAAGCAAAUCAGUGUUGGUAUAGACUUUCUCUCAUCCGUGUACCUGUAGCCAGCUCAAGACGGUCCACCGCCUAUCUCACACAGCUCCUUGCUUGUCGACUCACUCUCCUUUCCCUGUUCUCUCUUUCUCCACAGCUGACUGCUGGGACAUAAAGGCACAAUGAAUCGGUCUCCAAUGGUUCUCUCACCUCUGCGCUGACUACAGCUUUGGAUGACUGCUGGGACAUAAAGGCACAAUGAAUCGGUCUCCAAUGGUUCUCUCACCUCUGCGCUGACUACAGCUUUGGGUGACUGCUGGAACACAAGGCACAAUGAAUCGAUUCUCCAAUGGUUCUCUCACCUCUGCGCUGACUACAGCUUUGGGUAGGUAUGGCUCUCUGCACAGUUCAGUAUCUCAGUGCUCACGCUGGCUCUUUCUCUCUCUCUCCACAGGUGACU